rnacentral:rRNA from 1 species
GGAAUUUUGGGCAAUGGGCGAAAGCCUGACCCAGCAACGCCGCGUGAAGGAUGAAGUCCCUCGGGCUGUAAACUUCGUAAGCAUAGGAAGAAUAAAUGACGGUACUAUGCGUAAGCUCCGGCUAACUACGUGCCAGCAGCCGCGGUAAUACGUAGGGAGCAAGCGUGGUUCGGAUUGACUGGGCGUAAAGGGUGCGUAGGCGGCGCGUCAAGUCACUGGUGAAAUCUCCGGGCUUAACUCGGAACGGCCAAGUGAUACUGUCGUGCUAGUGUGCGGAAUGGGCAACUGGAAUUCUUGGUGUAGCGGUGAAAUGCGUAGAUAUCAAGAGGAACACCUGAGGCGAAGGCGAGUUGCUGGGCCGACACUGACGCUGAGGCACGAAAGCCAGGGGAGCG